rnacentral:misc_RNA from 1 species
GCGGAGGUUCAGUGGAGUGAAGUGGUGACGAUUGUUCGACUCCUUAUCUGUUAUCUGUUUAGUGUUAGGCCUAUGUGUUCCAUGCGGCAAGUUGGAAGUGGUUGUGCAUUUGGGCAAGUUGUAACUUGGUGGUGGGCGGGGACGAAUCUCUGCUGAGGGUUUCAUGCGAUCAAGCCAACGAAGGAUCCAGUUUCCAAGAUUCCUCCCAACUUCUA